UGGUUACCUCAGUUGGUAGGGUAUUGGAUUCAUAAUCCAAGGGUCAGGAGUUCAAUACCUGCCCAGGCCAA